rnacentral:tRNA from 1 species
AGCCCGCGGUCUUCAAACCUGCUGCGGGGGUCU